rnacentral:rRNA from 1 species
AUACGGAGGGUGCAAGCGUUAAUCGGAAUUACUGGGCGUAAAGCGCGCGUAGGUGGUUGGAUAAGCCGGAUGUGAAAGCCCUGGGCUCAACCUGGGAAUUGCAUUCGAAACUAUCCGGCUAGAGUACGGGAGAGGGAAGCGGAAUUCCGGGUGUAGCGGUGAAAUGCGUAGAUAUCCGGAAGAACACCAGUGGCGAAGGCGGCUUCCUGGACUGAUACUGACACUGAGGUGCGAAAGCGUGGGGAGCAAACAGGAUUAGAUACCCCGGUAGUCC